GAUCCUGGCUCAGGAUGAACGCUGGCGGCGUGCCUAAUACAUGCAAGUCGAACGCGAGCAGCAAUGCUCGAGUGGCGAACGGGUGAGUAAUACAUAAGUAACCUGCCCUAGACAGGGGGAGUAACUGCUGGAAACGGCAGCUAAGACCGCAUAGGUAUGGACACUGCAUGGGUGACCCGAUAUUAAAAAGUGCCAAGGCACUGGUAGAGGAUGGACUUAUGGCGC
rnacentral:rRNA from 1 species